UACGUAGGGGGCGAGCGUUGUCCGGAUUUAUUGGGCGUAAAGAGCGUGUAGGCGGCCAGGUAGGUCUGCUGUGAAAACUCGAGGCUCAACCUCGAGACGUCGGCGGAAACCAUCUGGCUAGAGUCCGGAAGAGGAGAGUGGAAUUCCUGGUGUAGCGGUGAAAUGCGUAGAUAUCGGAAAGAACACCAGUGGCGAAGGCGACUUUCUGGACUCUAACUGACGCUGAGGCGCGAAAGCAUGGGUAGCAAACAGG
rnacentral:rRNA from 1 species